UACGAAGGGGGCGAGCGUUGUUCGGAAUCACUGGGCGUAAAGGGCGCGUAGGCGGCCCCUUCUUGUUGCGUGUGAAAGCCCCGGGCUCAACCUGGGAACGGCGCGCGAGACGGGAGGGCUGGAGUUCGGGAGAGGAGCGUGGAAUUCCCAGUGUAGAGGUGAAAUUCGUAGAUAUUGGGAAGAACACCGGUGGCGAAGGCGGCGCUCUGGACCGAGACUGACGCUGAGGCGCGAAAGCGUGGGGAGCAACAGG
rnacentral:rRNA from 1 species